AUGCCAUAUACAUUCAGUGGACAUUUGGAGUUCUUAUGGAUAAAAAAUGAUACUGCAAUUGAAGAAUUAUCUCAAAAUAAAACUCAAACUCCACCUUGCUGUGGGUCCAAACGCAUUUCAAGCACACUAUUGAAACAAGUGACGGGAAGAAGGUUAAACAAGGCUCCCACCUGUGAGAUGGGUAAUCAAUGCUGCCAAAGAUGGUUGAUCAGAAAUCUGUUAAAGUGUAACAAACAAAAUCAGCAACUAAUAGAGAGCAUUGAUAAAUAUCAAAUAGAAAAAGGUGGUGCACUGCACACGAAUAUCAGAACUCAGAAGUACACUUAG